AUGUACUGUAAGAAAUAUUGGGGGGGGCACGAGCGCGAAGGCUGCGGGGAGUGACACUGGGACCUGCGUGGGCGUUGGGGUGGGGAGCAGCGGCCUACGCAAAGGGCCGUCGAGCGGCGGAGGCACCGAGGGCAGAGCAUUGUAGACCAAGGAGCCAUGGAUAGGAGAAGUGUGGGUGAAACAGAAAAUGGAGAUGCUCUCCUUGACCUGGAGAAGCUGCCUGCCUCCAAAUGCCCCCAUCGCAAUACAAAAGAAGAACUCUUGUAUAUAAAAGAAUUCCCCCAUUCCAAACAGCAGCCUUCAUGCCUUUCUGAAAAAUAUGACAGUGAUGGUGUCUGGGACCCUGAGAAGUGGCAUGCCUCUCUCUACCCGGCUUCAGGGCGGAGCUCACCAGUGGAAAGUCUGAAGAAAGAGUUGGAUACAGACCGGCCUUCCCUGGAGAGCAGGAUAGUAGAUCCACGAGAGCGUGUGAAAGAAGAUGUCUUAGAUGUUGUUCUCAGCCCUCAGAGGCGGAGCUUUGGAGGGGGCUGCCACGUGACAGCUGCUGUUAUUUCUCGGCGUUCAGGAAGUCCAUUAGAAAAAGACAGUGAUGCGCUUCGUCUGUGGACGCAGGAUUGGCAGUGGGAGGAUAAUCUCUGCCCAGACCUUUGAGAAUUAUCACCGUCUUAGCAUAAGGACCCGCCGGGCUUAAGAGACAGAGUCCGAGAGAGGGACUUAAGGACAAGCAUUUCAGGAGAGAGUUUGGGGAUAGUAAGCUUGUCUUUAGUGAACGCAGAAGAAAUGAUUCUUACACAGAAGAAGAACCAGAGUGGUUCUCAGCUGGACCCACAGAUCAGUCUGAAACCAUCGCACUGACUGGCUUUGAUGAUAAGAUACUAGAAGAAGAUCACAAGGGAGAAAAAGAACAAGGCGAAGGACAGCCUCUGUGAAGGAAGGUACAGUAGAGUGCGAUGGAGGAGUGGCCAAAGAGGAUGCGGUAGAGGUCAUCCUUGCACAGAAGCCUGUGGCUGAUCAAGAAGUGCCAAGGGAUGCUGACUUGCCUGAGCAGUCCCCGGGAGAAUUUGACUUUAACGAGUUCUUUAACCUUGUUAAGGUGCCAGGCUUGGCUUCGAUGAUAGAAGAUGUUUUGGGAGAAGGGUCAGUCUCUGCCAGUUGAUUCAGUAGGUGAUUCUCUAACCGGAGCAGAUCAGGAAACCGAUCCAGCCGUCUUGGGUCAACACCACACGAAGAGCUAGAGAGACCUGCAGGUCUGGAGCAAGCCAUCAUCUCUCCUGGACAGAACUCAGGGAAUUACUUUGCUCCUAUACCGUUGGAAGACCAUACUGAAAAUAAAGUGGAUAUUUUAGAAAUGCUACACAAAGCCAAAGUGGAUUUGAAACUGCUUCUUUCCAGCCUUUCUGCAAAUAAAGAAAAACUUAAAGAAAGCUCACAUUCAGAGGUUGUGCUUUCAGUGGAAGAGGUAGAAGCAGGGCUGAAGGGCUUGAAGGUGGACCAGCAAGUGAAGAAUUCAACUCCCUUCAUGGCAGAACACCGAGAAGAGACCUUGAAUGCUGUAACCAACAAUCAACAACUCAAGAAAGAUGGAGACAUGACUGCAUUCAACAAGCUAGUGAGCACAAUGAAGGCAAGUGGGACUUUGCCUUCUUAGCCCAAAGUCAGCCGAAACCUUGAAAGCCAUUUGAUGUCCCCUGCUGAGAUUCCAGGCCAGCCUGUCCGUAGGAACAUCCUGCAGGAACUUCUGGGUCAACCAGUUCAGAGACCUGCUUCUUCCAAUCUUCUGAGUGGCCUUAUGAGGAGCUUGGAGCCUACAACAUCUUUACUGGGCCAAAGAACACCCUCUCCUCCCUUGUCACAGGUGUUUCAAACUUGAGCAGACUCAGCAGGCUACCUUUGCCCAAGAAUACCAUCACCAAUUGGUUUCACACCAGGACCACAGCAGCUACUCGGAGAUUCAUUCCAAGGCAUGCGCAAACCCAUGAGCCCAUCACGGCCCAGCAGAUGAGCCAGCUGGAGUUGGAACAGGCAGCUUUAGAGGGGCUGGCCUUGCCACAUGACCUGGCUGUACAGGCCUCAAACUUCUACCAACCUGGUUUUGGCAAACCACAGGUGGACAGAACCAGAGAUGGAUUCAGAAACAGGCAACAGCGAGUGACCAAGUCGCCAGCACCAGUGCAUCGAGGGAAUUCCUCUUCCCCCGCCCCUGCUGCCUCCAUCACAAGCAUGCUUUCUCCUUCCUUUACCCCUAUCUCAGUGAUUCGUAAGAUGUACGAGAGCAAAGAGAAGAGCAAGGAGGAGCCAACAUCUGGAAAAGCAGCUCUUGGUGACGGUAAAGAGGAUACUCAGAAGUCUAGUGAAGAGAAUCUCCUGUCAUCCAGCUCUGAACCCAGUGCUGAUCGAGGCUCUUCUCCCACUACAAAUCCAAAACUAUCAGCGUUACAGAGGUCUUCAUGUUCCAACGUAGUGUCCCAGACCAACCGUUACACCAAAGAACAAGAUUAUCGACCUAAAACAGCUGGGAGAAAAACACCCACCUUGGCAUCCCCAGUUCCUGCAACACCUUUUCUCCGCCCUGCCUACCAAGUUCCCCUUGUCACCCAUGUCCCUAUGGUUUGGCCUGCUCACCAGCUUCACCCAGGGUUGGUACAGAGAAUGCUGGCACAGGGAGUAUAUCCACAGCAUCUUCCGAAUUUGCUCCAAGCUGGCAUGCUUCCUCCUGGGAUGGACUCGACUCAUUUCCAGGGAAUAUCUGGCCCCAUCUUGGGUCAGCCCUUUUAUCCUUUACCUGCUGCUAGUCAUCCUUUCUUAAACUCGUCCUGGAACACCUCUGCAUCUGGCAAUGAUCCAACAGCAACUACAGCACUCAGUUUUGCAUCCUCCAGGUUCUGGUUCCCAGGCAGCAGCUGUCAGUGUUCAAACAGCCCCUCAGAACGUGCCCAGCCGGUCAGGCCUGCCCCACAUGCACUCCCAGCUGGAGCAUCGCCCCAGCCAGAGGAGCAGCUCCCCCGUGGGACUCGCCAAAUGGUUUGGCUCAGAUGUGCUACAGCAACCCCUGCCCUCCAUGCCCACCAAAGUUAACAGUGUAGAUGAAUUGGAAUACUGACAGUGAGCAGGGCAGGCAGACUCAACUAAGCCUAGACCUGUGGUGGCACCCUGGGCAGGACUCUGCUUCCUCAUCUCAGGUUGGUUUAUGGGCUUUUACUUUGGAGCACUCUGUGUGAAGCUGCUUGGGGGAACCCAUGCACCUGGUGUGAUCUGCAUUAUGAUGGAAGCAUCUUAACCAGCCCAGCGGAGUGUACAUUGUCCGAAUACAGGAUUCACAAUGUUGUCAAUCCUGGAAAUGGUCUUUCUUUUUUGUAAGAUAUGUGAAUGAAGUGUUGGUGUCCUCACCAAGACGUGACACCUAAGGGUUCUGAGGAAAUAAAUGUAUAGACCCUUAUGUACAGACCUGUGUAUAAACAACUUUUAUGUAUACAUAUAGCUUUUUUGAACUUAUACAGCUGUACAUAGAAGUAGCUGAUAUUAGUUAAGCCUGUGUCAACAGUUUGGAUUUUUUUCACUUGUACAUUUGGGAUUUUCUUUUGGUUGAUUAAAAUUGCAUAUGCUAAA